AUGAACGCUGGCGGCGUGCCUAAUACAUGCAAGUCGAGCGAACAGACGAGGAGCUUGCUCCUCUGACGUUAGCGGCGGACGGGUGAGUAACACGUGGAUAACCUACCUAUAAGACUGGGAUAACUUCGGGAAACCGGAGCUAAUACCGGAUAAUAUAUUGAACCGCAUGGUUCCAUAGUGAAAGACGGUUUUGCUGUCACUUAUAGAUGGAUCCGCGCCGCAUUAGCUAGUUGGUAAGGUAACGGCUUACCAAGGCAACGAUGCGUAGCCGACCUGAGAGGGUGAUCGGCCACACUGGAACUGAGACACGGUCCAGACUCCUACGGGAGGCAGCAGUAGGGAAUCUUCCGCAAUGGGCGAAAGCCUGGCGGAGCAACGCCGCGUGAGUGAUGAAGGUCUUCGGAUCGUAAAACUCUGUUAUUAGGGAAGAACAAAUGUGUAAGUAACUAUGCACGUCUUGACGGUACCUAAUCAGAAAGCCACGGCUAACUACGUG
rnacentral:rRNA from 1 species